GUAAGGAUGUAUACAAAAGUGCCUUGGCCAUUGCUCACUGGGUCACCUUCUGUAUUAAGUGUUUUUUUGUCUGUUUAAUCCGUAGCUCGAUGUAUUUGAAGCUGCAGAAUUAUACCAAAAAGAAGGUAUCCCACUGAUAAUUUUAGCAGGAAAAAAAUAUGGUUCAGGAAAUUCAAGAGACUGGGCUGCGAAAGGACCCUAUUUGCUGGGUGUAAAGGCUGUUUUGGCUGAAAGCUAUGAAAAGAUACACAAAGAUCAUUUGAUUGGAAUUGGUAUAGCACCACUUGAGUUCCUCCCAGGAGAAAAUGCAGAUUCCUUGGGCCUCUCCGGCAGAGAAGUAUUUUCUUUAUCAUUUCCUGAAGAACUCUUUCCUGG
rnacentral:lncRNA from 1 species